rnacentral:lncRNA from 1 species
GCCACCGUCCGGCCAGCCACCAGCUGCUAGCCCACCCCAGUUUUGACCCCCAUCACCUCCUCUCUCUCCCCGGCCAAGCCCCCGAGCCGUUAGCCCGCCGGAAGAGGAGAAAACUCGCCGGAGUCGUCGGGAAGCUUUUUGCCAGAAAUCCCACCUCCGGCCACCAUAGGUCGAAAUCUUUGGCUCAUCUUGUAGCCCUCAUCGAGGUGAGUAUUCCCUCAAAAGGAAUUAGUCUAUUUCGUUGUUGUUAUGGAGAAAUGUAUAAUUGAAGUUUUUAGGGAUUUAUGAAAGUUUUGAUUCAUUGGCUCUAGUUAGCUUUAGAAAUGGACUAAGUGCUAGUUAUGAAUGUUGUUGAGCAUGAUGAGAGGAAUAUUCUGUGAAAAUUUGAGAAGCAUUGGAGGUCGCCGGAAAACGGCUGCCGGCCGCCGCCCCUUAGGGGCAGUUUUUCAUGCUUUUUGGGUUUGUUUUAAUGAGAGGAGUUUAAUGAAGUAUAGUUUGGAAUUUUUGGAGGAGAUUUGAUAAGGUUUAGGAUUUAUCUAUGACUAAGGAUUUGGCGGUUAUUCGAAUGGAAAUCCGGCAGUUGGUUUAGCAGGUUUUAAAGUCUAAAAAGGUUAAAUUAUGGCUUUCGGUAAGUGCGAAGUAAUGUGAGCCUUAUUAGGUAAAAUGUGGAGAAGUUAGGCAAGAGAAAUGAAAUUAUAGGCUUCCUUUUAUUUCGGAAAUUUGAUUAAAGUUUUGUCCUGGUUUGGAGGCUAAAUGAUUAUUUAUUGUUCAGGACGUGAGGN